rnacentral:rRNA from 1 species
CCUACGGGAGGCAGCAGUGAGGAAUAUUGGUCAAUGGGCGGAAGCCUGAACCAGCCAAGUCGCGUGAGGGAUUAAGGCCCUGCGGGUCGUAAACCUCUUUUGCCGGGGAGCAGAGGUCCGGACGUGUCCGGGCCGGGAGAGUACCCGGAGAAAAAGCAUCGGCUAACUCCGUGCCAGCAGCCGCGGUAAUACGGAGGAUGCGAGCGUUAUCCGGAUUUAUUGGGUUUAAAGGGUGCGUAGGCGGGCAUUUAGGCCGGCGGUAAAAUGUCGGGGCUCAACCCCGGCCUGCCGUCGGAACUGGGUGCCUUGAGUGGGCGAGAGGUAUGCAGAAUGCGAGGUGUAGCGGUGAAAUGCGUAGAUAUCACGCAGAACCCCGAUUGCGAAGGCAGCAUACCGGCGCCCUACUGACGCUGAGGCGCGAAAGUGCGGGUAGCGAACAGGAUUAGAUACCCCAGUAGUC